GUACAAAGUUACCAGAGUCGAGCAUGGAGGCAGAGGAAGCAGGCUGAGACGUGUUUGCGAAAGGUAUCUGCUGGCCAUGUUCCCGCUGCAAAAUAAGCCUGCCAUCACUGCUCAAGAUCAAGAUCACAUCCUUUGGCAAUGGUGGGUCAUCCCGGUUUGCUGUCCAUGUGAUAGUUUUCUGUUGACUUUUCGCAAACCAAAUCCCAAUUGCAAAACCUUCUCCAUUUGGAUAAAAACCAAAGGCAAAAUGGCCAGAAUGAGAGGGCCAAUAUGAGUUGUUAGUCGGAG
rnacentral:misc_RNA from 1 species